rnacentral:lncRNA from 1 species
AGUUCACUCACAGACAGCAAACCAAGGGGUUGUGCUGUCUCCUUGUCUCCCAGGGAUAAACCCACAUGACAGUUUACAAAAACAGGUAAUCAUAAGAAGCAAAUGGCCCAGAUGAAACACAGCAAAAGAAUGAGAAGUGGUAACACUGGGAGUGAAAUUUGAACCAAGCGUAAAUGGAGUGAUCGUAGAAAUAGCUGACUGUGGAAUGUGGACACUCUCUGUAUCUGCAGCCUGGGAAGCUUAAAGAAGGUGAACUUACUGACACCAGUUAGAAAGUGACUGUGAUGAAACGAUGAAGAUGCUCCAGAGGAAGUGACACCAGCAAUAGGAAAAAAAAAACAAACCUCUCACUGAAGGAACUCUCGGAGAUAUUUCAUGACACAGAAGGCACAAAGGAUACAAUAUUGGCAACUAAUCGAAACUUAGAAAUGAUAUGACAGCUCACCAAGGCAUAGAAAAAGAUGCUUGCUCUAUCAUAAGUUAUAGAAUGAGAAGAAGUAUAUCAGAAAACUCAAAUAUAACUCCACAACUUUUUCAAGAGUUUCUUUUUGUUUUCCAAUGGUAACGGGAGAGAAAAUAAGCUGUCAUUAUCGGAAUGAUCAAACACAGAGAGAAAAGAGGCAGAGGUGAGAAGAUGGAGAAGAUGAAUACAUUUGCUUUCAGCAAACCAAUGGAAGUCCAUUUGCAUGAUCUGAAAAGGAAAAUGAGAAGCUAAUUUUUCUAUACAAGGCAGAAUUUAAGAAAUACAAUUCCUAAGGACUCCAGUGGAUACAGCUCUGGUUCCUGGACUUCGUGUUUUGGCUUGGUCUUUCUGCUUUUUCAAUUUUGUCACUGGAAGAAGCCACCUGGCAAAGUGGAAAGGAUGAGAACUAGAGAAUGUGCCUGUCAUCUUCAGGGGAGAGCCUGAUGGAGCUAGAACAAAGGUGGAUACAGGACUUCAGGAAGUUAGACUCCAAAAUAUUUUAAGAAAAUAUGGCGGCCAGGCGUGGUGGCUCACGCCUGUAAUCCUAGUACUUUGGGAGGCUGAGGCGGGCGGAUCACAAAGUCAGGAGAUCGAGACCAUCCUGACUAACCUGGUGAAACCCUGUCUCUACUAAAAAAAAGAAAAAGAAAAAGAAAAUAUGGCAUAAUUCCACAAGUUUCUAGAAAAGGAAACAGUAUCAACAAGCACUCAAAAGCAUGGCUUUGGAUAAUUCCAAUGAGAAGACAAGAGAGAAGGGGAGACUCUCAAAGAAACUAGUGAUGGCAGAGCCCUUUAAGCAAGGACGUAGAAUGGAUGUUCAAAAAGAUGGAGGUGUGAUCCAGAGAACAUGCCUUUCACUGUGAAAACCAGCACCUUCAAGGCCAGGCGCAGUGGCUUGCGCCUAUAAUCCCAGCAUAUUGGGAGGCCGAGGUGGGUGGAUCACCUGAGGUCAGGAGUUCAAGACCAACCUGACCAACAUGGUCUACUAAAAAUACAAAAAUUAGCCCGGCAUGGUGGCGGGCGCCUAUAAUCCCAGGUACUCGGGAGGCUGAGACAUGAGAAUAGCUUGAACCAGGGAGGCGGAGGUUGCAGUGAGACGAGAUCACACCAUUGCACUCCAGCCUGGGCAACAGAGCAAGACUCCAUCUCAAAAACAAACAAACAAACAAACAAAAACACCACACAAAACCAGCACCUUCCACAGUGUCUAGCAUACGUUAGUCACCAAAACAGGUUUGCUAAAUGAACAAAUGAAUGAAUGGCAUUUUAUGUGUCAGUAAAUAUGCUUCAAAAUCAUGAUGUAUGAUGAGUAAGCAACUCUAUCAAAUAAAUAUAACGUAAUUUGCUGUGAGCACAUAAUUUGCUGUGUUCUAGUAUUGAACAGUUGGACUAUUUCCAUAUUUUAAUUUUUACUAUUAUGUUUGAGGAUGAUAUAUAAAUCUU